GGAACAUAUUUAAGAAAGCCGCUAACUGUCUACAAGUGUAAUAACACUAUGUCCCU
rnacentral:tRNA from 1 species